rnacentral:rRNA from 1 species
GUACGGGAGGCAGCAGUGGGGAAUAUUGGGCAAUGGAGGCAACUCUGACCCAGCAACGCCGCGUGAGUGAAGAAGGUCUUCGGAUUGUAAAGCUCUGUGGAUAGGGAUGAAAAAAAUGACAGUACCUAUAAAGCAAGCCACGGCAAACUACGUGCCAGCAGCCGCGGUAAUACGUAGGUGGCAAGCGUUGUCCGGAAUGACUGGGUGUAAAGGGUGCGUAGGCGGCUUAUUAAGUUAGAAGUGUAAUACCUGGGCUCAACUUAGGUGCUACUUCUAAGACUGAUGAGCUUGAGUGUGGGAGAGGUAAGUGGAAUUCCUAGUGUAGCGGUGGAAUGCGUAGAUAUUAGGAGGAACACCAGUGGCGAAGGCGACUUACUGGACCAUAACUGACGCUGAUGCACGAAAGCGUGGGUAGCAAACAGGAUUAGAUACCCUGGUAGC